GUGGGUGUAGCUCAGUGGUAGAGUGCAUGUUUAGCACGCAGCAGGUCCUGGGUUCAAUCCCCAGUACCUCCA
rnacentral:tRNA from 1 species